rnacentral:rRNA from 1 species
AACCUCCGCAAUGUGAGAAAUCGCGACGGGGGGAUCCCAAGUGCCAUUCUUAACGGGAUGGCUUUUCAUUAGUGUAAAGAGCUUUUGGAAUAAGGGCUGGGCAAGACCGGUGCCAGCCGCCGCGGUAACACCGGCAGCUCUAGUGGUAGCAGUUUUUAUUGGGCCUAAAGCGUCCGUAGCCGGUUUAAUAAGUCUCUGGUGAAAUCCUGUAGCUUAACUGUGGGAAUUGCUGGAGAUACUAUUAGACUUGAGACCGGGAGAGGUUAGAGGUACUCCCAGGGUAGAGGUGAAAUUCUGUAAUCCUGGGAGGACCGCCUGUUGCGAAGGCGUCUAACUGGAACGGUUCUGACGGUGAGGGACGAAAGUUAGGGGCGCGAACCGGAUUAGAUACCCGGGUAGUCCUAACUGUAAACGAUGCGGACUUGGUGUUGGGGUGGCUUUGAGCUGCUCCAGUGCCGAAGGGAAGCUGUUAAGUCCGCCGCCUGGGAAGUACGGCCGCAAGACUGAAACUUAAAGGAAUU